UACGUAGGGUGCGAGCGUUAAUCGGAAUUACUGGGCGUAAAGCGUGCGCAGGCGGUUUUGUAAGCCAGAUGUGAAAUCCCCGGGCUUAACCUGGGAAUGGCAUUUGGGACUGCAAGGCUAGAGUACGUCAGAGGGGGGUAGAAUUCCACGUGUAGCAGUGAAAUGCGUAGAGAUGUGGAGGAAUACCGAUGGCGAAGGCAGCCCCCUGGGACGUGACUGACGCUCAUGCACGAAAGCGUGGGGAGCAAACAGG
rnacentral:rRNA from 1 species